UAACCGUGCAAAGGUAGCAUAAUCAAUUGGCUAUUAAUUGUAGUCUAGUAUGAAUGAAGUAAUGAAUAGUAGCUAUAAUAAAAAAUAUUAUUUUAAUUUAAUGAACUGGUGAAAAUUCCAAUAUAUAGAAAAAAGACGAGAAGACCCUUAGAGUUUUUGAAAUAAAGAUUGUUUAAGACUUUAAUUAGAUACUACUCUUAAAGAAAUUAUACAAUACACUUUUUUGUUGGGGCGACAAGAAAGCAAUAUAACCUUUCUAUUGACACUAAAAGUGGUAUUAGAUCUGACGAAUUUAUUAUGAAUGACUAAACUACCUGAGGGAUAACAGCAUAAUGAUUAAUAUUAGUUUGUGACCUCGAUGUUGGACUAGGGACUUGUACACUAACCGUGAUAAAAGCUUGUUCUGUUCGAACAAUAAACCCCUACAUGAUCUG
rnacentral:rRNA from 1 species